AACGAACGCUGGCGGCAUGCCUAACACAUGCAAGUCGAACGAGACCAUCGGGUCUAGUGGCGCACGGGUGCGUAACGCGUGGGAACCUGCCCUUAGGUUCGGCAUAACUCCCCGAAAGGGGUGCUAAUACCGGAUAAUGUCUUCCGACCAAAGAUUUAUCGCCUUUGGAUGGGCCCGCGUUGGAUUAGCUAGUUGGUAGGGUAAAAGCCUACCACGGCGACGAUCCAUAGCUGGUAUGAGAGGAUGAUCAGCCACACUGGGACUGAGACACGGUCCAGACUCCUACGGGAGGCAGCAGUGGGGAAUAUUGGACAAUGGGCGGAAGGCUGAUCCAGCAAGGCCGGGUGAGUGAUGAAGGCCUUAGGGUUGUAAAGCUCUUUUACCCGGGAUGAUAAUGACAGUACCGGGAGAAUAAGCACCGGCUAACUCCGUG
rnacentral:rRNA from 1 species